CGAUUUUACGGUGCAUGCCUCUUUUAUACUCGCGCCAAUAAAAUGAAUCUGUCCAUUAAAAUAUGAAUCACCUAUUAUGGUUCCAAAUCUAUUGCUUAAUAAAUCACAAGACCUUAUCAGCUGGUUCGUUUGUAAUAAAAGCAAUGAAGUUCAUUUAAAUUUUGUUAUUACCUAUAUCUACAGUCAAUGUGGAAGAAAUUUCAUGUGAUGUGCCCUCUCUAAACCGAAAAUUUCAAAUAACGAUUUUUUCCUAUUUUUUACUCAAUUUUUUCGAUAUAAAAUUAAUUUUUAAUUCAACAGCGAAAUGAAAAAUAUAAUUACUUUCACUUUUUCGAUAACUUUUCUUAUUUUUAAAUUCACUUACGCAGAAGAAAAGUUCAGGUUAAAAUUCAACGAAGAAAAUCUCAACUGCGAUUGCACAAGUCAGAUCUGCAACAACAAUGAUGCCAUGAAGGGGAUAAAUCAUUUGCGUUCGACUAAAUUCCUUUCCAGCACCACGAUUUUAUGCGCAGGGAGUAUACUCAGAAAGGGUACUUGUAACUGUUUUAACGGAAAUUUACUCAAGGAUGAUGGAACAAGAGUGAAACGAGAUAUUCUACAUAACCUAACGGAUUUAAAAAAGAAAAUCGACCAAUUUUGCAGAUCGCUCACUAACAGCAACAUAAACGAUUUCCAACAAAUAUGCGAUGUAAUUAGCGGGGAUAAACCAGCUAUGCCUGGAAGUACAGAAGAGUUGAUACGUAAAGGAUUAAAAAUUCUCGAAUUAGUUGUGACCACCUUUUUCGAUGACUGGCCUUUUGGUCCAACUACAACGCCAAGGCCAAUGCCAAAGCGUAUGAUGUGAGAUGUUUAAAAUGCUUUCUGCAAAUUUCAUUCGUUGAGUUUUUCUAAAAAAAAAAUAAUACAAUUCAGAAAAAAAGUAAAAUUAUUUUGACUUAGGUAUUUUAAAAAUAUUAUUUUUGUCUCAAAUUCCUCUAAUGGUAACGUUUUUAUGCAUUAUAAGUUGUAUCAAUUUGCUAGUACAUAUAAAUAAAUUAAUUUUUUAGAA